rnacentral:lncRNA from 1 species
CGGGCGUAUUAAAUAUUGUGAUAAUAGGUGUAGCUUGUCGUUCACACGUUUUAGUCUAUAACUUUUUAGACCCCUCCCACGUUUUUUUACAAUCGUCCUUGUAAAUUACAAAUAAAAAUUCUAAUUUUUGUCGGAAUAUAUAGCAUUUAUUUGUUUACGCUUUGAUUUAAAUGAGAGAGAACGACGAUGUCUGCCGAGCUUAAUUUUCUCCAUUUUUG